AGAAAAGAGGGACAGGGUCCAAAAUAGGGACUGGCCAUCCUAAACAGUGACACUUGGGAGGUAUGGCCAUGCCUGUAUGUGAAGGGAUGAUGUGAUGGGGGUUGGGGUUGAAAAUUGAAGUACCUGGAUGAUAGCUUGAUCUGAACAAGGGGACGAAGAAUUGGGUUCAUUAUGGGAUAGGUAAAAACCGGAAAAGUGUGGAAGAUGUGUG